rnacentral:lncRNA from 10 species
AGGGGUCAUGGGCAGUGGGUGCAAAUUAUGGUUUCAUGUGGACAUGCAGCUGGACCAGAGCUGAUCCUGUAGGUGGUGCUGUGCUCUCUCCCUCAGCAUUUGUCCCUGGAGGGUCUCUGAAAGUCCAGGUCAGCCCCUGGGCUGGGUCCCCACAGUAAGAAGAGAACUGUGAUGGGCAACACCCCAGAAAAGAAGACUUGCAGCCUCACUUCAGGUCAAUUUGCAAGAACUGACAUCACACAGCAGCUUGGUUUCUUCAGACCGUCCAGCUUGCUGCGUCUUGCCCAGUCACGUGGAGCUAAUAAAGAUACGCUGUUCCACACCUCUGUGCCUCUCCACAUGUGGUUCCUUUUGCCUGGAGUGCCAACCCUUUCUGCCUGCUGUCCACCUAUCAAACUUCCACUCAUCCUUUACAAACGAGCAUAAGCAUCAGCGCUUU